rnacentral:rRNA from 1 species
UAGCAACUUUCAGCAGUGGAUGUCUAGGCUCGCACAUCGAUGAAGAACGCCGCGAACUGCGAUACGUAAUGCGAAUUGCACGAUUCAGUGAGUCAUCGAAAUUUUGAACGCAUAUUGCACUUCCGGGUUAGUCCUGGAAGUAUGCCUGUAUCAGUGUCCGUA